UGGGGAAUUUUGGACAAUGGGCGAAAGCCUGAUCCAGCAAUGCCGCGUGUGUGAAGAAGGCCUUCGGGUUGUAAAGCACUUUUGUCCGGAAAGAAAUCCUUGGCUCUAAUACAGUCGGGGGAUGACGGUACCGGAAGAAUAAGCACCGGCUAACUACGUGCCAGCAGCCGCGGUAAUACGUAGGGUGCAAGCGUUAAUCGGAAUUACUGGGCGUAAAGCGUGCGCAGGCGGUUUGCUAAGACCGAUGUGAAAUCCCCGGGCUCAACCUGGGAACUGCAUUGGUGACUGGCAGGCUAGAGUAUGGCAGAGGGGGGUAGAAUUCCACGUGUAGCAGUGAAAUGCGUAGAGAUGUGGAGGAAUACCGAUGGCGAAGGCAGCCCCCUGGGCCAAUACUGACGCUCAUGCACGAAAGCGUGGGGGAGCAAACAAGAUUAGAUACCCUGGUAGUCCACGCCCUAAACGAUGUCAACUAGUUGUUGGGGAUUCAUUUCCUUAGUAACGUAGCUAACGCGUGAAGUUGACCGCCUGGGGAGUACGGUCGCAAAGAUUAAAACUCAAAUGAAUUGACGGGGUCAUAGCUGUUUCCU
rnacentral:rRNA from 1 species